rnacentral:SRP_RNA from 1 species
GCCGGGCGCGGUGGCGCGUGCCUGUAAUCCCAGCUACCCGGGAGGCUGAGGCAGGAGGAUCGCUUGAGUCCAGGAGUUCUGGGCUGUAGUGCGCUAUGCCGAUCGGGUGUCCGCACUAAGUUCGGCAUCAAUAUGGUGACCUCCCGGGAGCGGGGGACCACCAGGUUGCCUAAGGAGGGGUGAACCGGCCCAGGUCGGAAACGGAGCAGGUCAAAACUCCCGUGCUGAUCAGUAGUGGGAUCGCGCCUGUGAAUAGCCACUGCACUCCAGCCUGGGCAACAUAGCGAGACCCCGUCUCUU